UACCCGCCGGGAAUUAAGCAUAUCAAUAAGCGGAGGAAAAGAAACUAACAAGGAUGCGCUUAGUAACGGCGAGCGAACCGCGCAAAGCCCAACUUGAAAAUCUCCCUAGGAGAAUUGUAGUCUAUAGAAGUACCCUCUGCAACGGGCUGAGCUAAAGUCUCCUGGAAAGGGGCGUCAGAGAGGGUGAGAACCCCGUAAGCUUACGCUUAGUUGCCUCACGAGGUGCUUUCAAAGAGUCGGGUUGCUUGGGAAUGCAGCCCAAAUUUGGUGGUAAAUCCCAUCUAAGGCUAAAUAUUGGCGAGAGACCGAUAGCGAACAAGUACCGUGAGGGAAAGAUGAAAAGAACUUUGAAAAGAGAGUUAAAAAGUGCUUGAAAUUGUUGAGGGGGAAGCGUUUGAAUGCUAGGGUGCGCCUAGGCUUAUGGGUUCUUAACGGGACUCUGUAUGUGCUAGGUGCUGGCCAGCAUGGGUUAGGCUAGUGGGAUAAAAGCUGGGGUUGAUACCCGGUGUAUGCCACUGGCUUGACCAAGGCGUUAAGACUGCCCUUGUCCUUCGGGAACUGCAGUCUCAAGAUGCUGGCAAAAGGCUUUCAACCGACCCGUCUUGAAACCACGGACCA
rnacentral:rRNA from 1 species